CCUANGGGUGGCAGCAGUCUAGAGGCUUCGGCAAUGGACGAAAGUCUGACCGAGCGACGCCGCGUGCGGGAUGAAGGCCGUGAGGUUGUAAACCGCUGUCAGCAGGGAAGAAUGCCCGGAUGGUGAAUUCGGGAGUGACGGUACCUGCAGAGGAAGCCCCGGCUAACUCCGUGCCAGCAGCCGCGGUAAUACGGAGGGGGCAAACGUUGUUCGGAAUUACUGGGCGUAAAGGGUGCGUAGGCGGUUCGGUAAGUCUAGCGUGAAAUCUCGUCGCUUAACGACGAAACUGCGCUGGAUACUGCUGAGCGCGAGGGUGGGAGAGGCUAGUGGAAUUCCUGGUGUAGCGGUGGAAUGCGUAGAUAUCAGGAAGAACACUCGUGGCGAAGGCGGCUAGCUGGCCCAUUCCUGACGCUGAGGCACGAAAGCCAGGGGAGCGAACGGGAUUAGAUACCCCUNUANUC
rnacentral:rRNA from 1 species